UACGUAGGCAGCGAGCGUUGUUCGGAGUUACUGGGCGUAAAGGGUGCGUAGGCGGUUGUUUAAGUUUGGUGUGAAAUCUCCCGGCUCAACUGGGAGGGUGCGCCGAAUACUGAAUGACUAGAGUGCGGGAGAGGAGAGUGGAAUUCCUGGUGUAGCGGUGAAAUGCGUAGAUAUCAGGAGGAACACCGGUGGUGUAGACGGCUCUCUGGACCGUAACUGACGCUGAGGCACGAAAGCGUGGUAGCAAACAGG
rnacentral:rRNA from 1 species